rnacentral:ncRNA from 1 species
AUAUCACCUAGCGAUGGGGCUCGCUUAGUGCCGACAAAGGCUGAUGGCUCCUACUGUUCA